CUCAUUUCUAAACCCUGUCGCUUAGUGGUGGCUCUCGCCUGAAUAAAACUGGCUGUUUCUGAUGUAGAAUCAGUUUCUAUGAUAACCGAGUCGAGUGUCUAGGGGCCAAGAUUGCGUGAAAAUGCAGGCUUGACUAACAACUCUAGCUUUCCCAAGUUCUGCUGAUUUGCACAUUAACGUAAAAGGGUGUCCAUCUACUGCCGCCACAGCAAUCCCGAGCUAUUACUGCUUCAUAUGCGUGGUUGUUCUUCAUGUCCGUAGAACAUAUUCCAGAGCACCUACUUUCUCCAAGGAUUUAUCGUUUAAAUUUGACUUUGAUUCUUUCAUUUAAAUCAGGAGCGGUGACUCGUGUCUGUGACAGAGCACAAGUGAAUGCAGUUAACCAACAAUCAAUAUUUUCAAAAUCAACAAUUUCCUUCUCAUAAGCAUAAUAACAACAGAUACCAGCCAUUACAAUUCCAUAUAUUUCGUACAACAAACAUGAUUAAACAAAAAGAAAAAAGGGCUUCAAUACAAGAAAGGGAUAACAGCUUUUCUAGCCCUGGGAUAAUCUUCUCCAAACUUGUCCAGAUACCACUUAUGGUUAGCAAAUGCCCUGGGCAUUAAGUUGGCACAUGUGUAGAGGAAAAACCCAAACCCAACCCAAGACCAUGUCAUCACACUCCACCCAAGCCACUCAACAAUCUCCCCAAAAUAGUUGGGACAGCUCACCAGCUCAAACCACCCUCCUCUUGGUACCUUGUACCCACCAUUCUCUCUCUUUAACCCCAUCAAAACCCUAUCAGACCAUACAUUAAUCCACAUACCCCACAAAAACACCAAUAGCCCACCAAAAAAUUUCCACCAGAACCGCCCAUCAGUGUGAUAAUUCUCCUUGUAAUGAGACACCCACCUAGCUUGCAAGUAAGCAUUCAAUAAAUUAAACCCAAAAGCCAUCAGGGCCACACUCACUGGAAAUCCAGUACCAGAUUUGGUAUUCCGCUGAGUGGUACUCAGGUAAAGGCGAAGAGGGUAGAGGCAGGUGCGGUGGAAAUAGUGGAUGAUAAAAGGAGACAUAAGAAUCAGUGCUUUGGAAUUGGUGGCAUGUUGGCCGACAGGAAAGAGGAGAAGGGUAAGCCAGAGAGUGGGGCUUUCCAUGAGGAACCAGGCCAAAGGAGGGGAGAUAGUAGGGCCCCAGCCAGGGCGAUUAUGCUUGCCAUAUGGGGCUUGAAGGAACCUGAGGGAGAUGAAGGUGGGGGGUCCUAUAAGGAAGAAAGCAAGGAGGGCGUAAUGAAAGAGGCUCUGAUCUGAGAAAGCCAUAUUUUUUUAUUCUUGGAAGGGGACUCAAGAAUCAACGAGGGAUGCUCUAUAAAAAGGGCAUCUUUUGGAUCAUGGAAAUUUGUUGUGAUUAUUACCGCAGAAAUGGGUUGCAGAAAUGUCAAGAAAAUGAUUGCAGAGGUAAACUGUUGGGCAAUUUAAUUUGGGCUCAAUAAUUCAAGGCGGAUGUGAAUAUCCCGUUGAAAACAAGGAGUGUGUUGGAUUAGGGUCUCGCAUACUUGGACAGUGGACCCCUCUAAUUGAGGGAUUGCAUCUUGGUUGUAAAUGUGAGUAAAUUUUUUUUUUAGUAUUUAAAUUAUGCCAUAAUCUUCAACUUUUAAAACUCAACAGUUUUGUCUUUGAAUUUUGAUUGGUAGAACAUUCAAGUGUUUUCAUUUAAAUUUUCGUUGAUUCGUCCGAG
rnacentral:misc_RNA from 1 species